rnacentral:tRNA from 1 species
CAAGGAAUAGUUUAAGUAGAAUUUCAGCUUUGGGUGUUGAUGGUGGAGCUAGAGCUUCUUCCUUGAUAGUCCUUGGGAGGAACGUUU